rnacentral:rRNA from 1 species
GCGGAAGGAUCAUUCAUUGAGCAUGGGUAGGCCUUAGCCCUACACAAGCAUGUCUUUUCUUUACUCUAAGUGGGUUCAGAUGGGCUCACUGUGAUACUGAGAUGGGUCUGAGAAGAGAUGCCCUUUUUAUGAUUUGCUUUCGGGUGUCUCAUCUAUCUCUCAGCCUUUUUCCAUUCAACUGUGAGUUGGAUGCGCUGUAUCACUCAGUUGGUCAUGUUUGAAAGCAAAUCGGACUCUUGGGGAGGGAUAUCCCUCUUUUUGAGUGUCAAUGAGCUUUGGGCUCAAACAAAUUCUGUCCAUAAAUGAUUGUUUUGAUCAUGGGCUUCAUUUGACAACUUUCAGCAAUGGAUCUCUUGGUUCUCGCAUCGAUGAAGAACGCAGUGAAAUGCGAUAACUGGUGUGAAUUGCAUCCAAGUAACUCUAAUUUACGAAUAACACCAAGUGAAUCAUCGAGUCUUUGAACGCAAUUGCGCCCUCUCGGUCGCUUCCAAUUGGGGGUUGACUCAUAGGGGGUACAUCUGUUCGAGGGUCAUUUGAGUCUCUCAAAUGGGGUUUGUCACUCCUUUGGAUUUUGGGUCUUGCUGUGAAAUUCAUCUCAGCUUACCUUGAAAGCAUUAGCAAGCAUUCUCAAGUCUUUUGUGAUGGAGGGCGUUCUAAUUGGUCAAGUUCUCGCAAACUGGUCUCUGUAGCCAGUGUCAAAGACGUCUUAAACAUCGUAAAAGUGACUUUUAAAGUGGCGCUAGCUUCCAAUCAUCCGUAUGGGAAAAAGGAGCUCAAUGCCCCUUCAAUGUUUAUCAAUGACCUCGAAUCAGAU